rnacentral:rRNA from 1 species
CGAACGGGUGAGUAAUGCGUGACCAACCUGCCCCAUGCUCCAGAAUAGCUCUUGGAAACGGGUGGUAAUGCUGGAUGCUCCAACUUGACGCAUGUCUUGUUGGGAAAGUGUUUAGUGGCAUGGGAUGGGGUCGCGUCCUAUCAGCUUGUAGGCGGGGUAAUGGCCCACCUAGGCUUCGACGGGUGGCCGGCCUGAGAGGGCGGACGGCCACAUUGGGACUGAGAUACGGCCCAGACUCCUACGGGAGGCAGCAGCC